AAUCGAAUUAUUUAAAAGAAAAAUAUGAUGUUAUAUUAUUUGCAACAAGAAAAGGAUUUUAAUAUAUCUAGCGGUUCAUAUGUAGCUGAUUCAAAAAAAUACCUUUAGAUGGUAGAAAGGUUUGGACAUCUACUCAAAUUUCGAAGCAUACAUCAAGGAAUAGUUUAUAACAGAUGGUAUUAAAAUUAGUCAAAAAUAUUAGUAUUGAGAUGUCAAAACGUUAAAACUUGAAGCCUUCGUAGAUUGUUGGAAAUUAUUUAUUAUGAUCUUGCCUAUCACCACAUAAAUGAUGCAUUGCGAUGGGGUAAGCACCUUAGCUAUUUUUUUUACCGCCUUGUCAAAUUUUGAUAAAGCUUUAUGAAGAACGAAAAAUUUUAAUCAUUGAAUAUUUUAUUUUUUUUUAAUUUUUCGUAUUAAAUUUAUAUUUCCAUUUGCAUGCCAUUUAUUUGAGUACACAUUUGACUUCUAUUUAUUUUUUUUACCUUUAAUAAUUAAAUG